rnacentral:rRNA from 1 species
UAAUACGUAGGGGGCAAGCGUUGUCCGGAAUCAUUGGGCGUAAAGAGCGUGUAGGCGGCCCGGUAAGUCCGUUGUGAAAGUCGAGGGCUCAACCCUCGAAUGCCGGCGGAUACUGUCGGGCUCGAGUCCGGAAGAGGCGAGUGGAAUUCCUGGUGUAGCGGUGAAAUGCGCAGAUAUCAGGAGGAACACCAACGGCGAAGGCAGCUCGCUGGGACGGUACUGACGCUGAGACGCGAAAGCGUGGGGAGCAAACAGGAUUAGAUACCCUGGUAGUCCACGCCGUAAACGAUGGGCACUAGGUGUGGGAGGUGUCGACUCCUUCCGUGCCGAAGCUAACGCAUUAAGUGCCCCGCCUGGGGAGUACGGCCGCAAGGCU